UNGGAACUAUUGGUGUUCUUAGACGACC
rnacentral:piRNA from 1 species